rfam:Triticum aestivum genome assembly, contig: Triticum_aestivum_CS42_TGACv1_scaffold_436593_5DL
GUCAUACUCCCUCCGUUCGGAAUUACUUGUCGUAGAAAUGGAUGUAUCUAGACAUUUUUUAGUUCUAGAUACAUCCAUUUUGCGACAAGUAAUUCGGAACGGAGGGAGUAUUUG